rnacentral:rRNA from 1 species
AGAGUUUGAUCAUGGCUCAGGAUGAACGCUGGCGGCGUGCCUAACACAUGCAAGUCGUACGAGCUCGAUCUUCGGAACGGGUUAGUGGCGCACGGGUGAGUAACACGUAGGUGACCUACCCCAGAGUGGGGGAUAACUUCUCGAAAGAGAGGCUAAUACCGCAUACACUCGGUCAUUCAUUUGGCCGAGCAAAGCUCCGGCGCUUUGGGACGGGCCUGCGUCCGAUUAGCUAGUUGGUAGGGUAAUGGCUUACCAAGGCUUUGAUCGGUAGCUGGUCUGAGAGGACGAUCAGCCACACUGGCACUGACACACGGGCCAGACUCCCACGGGAGGCAGCAGUGAGGAAUAUUGGGCAAUGGGCGAAAGCCUGACCCAGCAACGCCGCGUGAGGGAUGAAGGCCUUCGGGUUGUAAACCUCUUUUCUGGGUGAAGAGACAAGGACGGUAUCCCAGGAAUAAGUCUCGGCUAACUACGUG